rnacentral:tRNA from 1 species
AUUUAUGUAGUUUAAAUAGAACAUUACAUUUUCAUUGUAAAAAUAAUAAUAAUAUAUUCUUAAAUA